rnacentral:sRNA from 1 species
AAAGAGUUAUUCUGGUUAUUAUCUAUAUAUACAUUUUUGCAGCUAUUUUAGCAAAUAAAUCAUGUACUUGACACUUAUUUACUAUUCAAUGUUA